rnacentral:rRNA from 1 species
GACGAACGCUGGCGGCGUGCCUAAUACAUGCAAGUUGAGCGCUGAAGGUUGGUACUUGUACCAACUGGAUGAGCAGCGAACGGGUGAGUAACGCGUGGGGAAUCUGCCUUUGAGCGGGGGACAACAUUUGGAAACGAAUGCUAAUACCGCAUAAAAACUUUAAACACAAGAUUUAAGUUUGAAAGAUGCAAUUACAUCACUCAAAGAUGAUCCCGCGUUGUAUUAGCUAGUUGGUGAGGUAAAGGCUCACCAAGGCGAUGAUACAUAGCCGACCUGAGAGGGUGAUCGGCCACAUUGGGACUGAGACACGGCCCAAACUCCUACGGGAGGCAGCAGUAGGGAAUCUUCGGCAAUAGACGAAAGUCUGACCGAGCAACGCCGCGUGAGUGAAGAAGGUUUUCGGAUCGUAAAACUCUGUUGGUAGAGAAGAACGUUGGUGAGAGUGGAAAGCUCAUCAAGUGACGGUAACUACCCAGAAAGGGACGGCUAACUACGUG